AUGCAACCCAAUACCCUCAGCGCCCAGACCCUCCAGAUCACUGGGCACACACAUUUACGUAUAUACAUAGAUAUAGUGUUCAGUUCUACAGGUUUAAAUUUGGCUCAAGAAUUUCUUUCCCAAUUACACAACAGUUUUAACAUUUGUUUAAUAAAAUUUCAAAUUCCAAAUUCUCUCCUCCCCGUCAUCCCAUUUGAUAUUGCUUGUACACGUCCAGUUGGUCCUGUCGUGGAAGAAGACUCAUUUCUAAAAUCCCCCAAAGAAAAUCAAGUGGAAGAUGGAAUGUUUCUGUCCACAGUCGCACUCCAUCAGUUCUUUCAGCGCAGAUCUGACUAAUCUAUGUCCUGCUGACUCAGAACGAACAUUAAGUCCCCUAAAAGCCCCAGAUCUUUUUCAUCUGACCGUGGUCACACCCAUUUUAUCAUUGCAAAAUGGAUCCUUGGCACCCAAGGUAUGACUUGAUAUGGAUCCUUGUUGAAUUUCAUCUGUGUUUUCUGGACAGCGGCUAUCAUCCAGUCUUUUCACUAUCCCUCUCAUUGUCAUUUGCAGGUUUGAUGGGUGGAUAUUUUGUUUUUAUUUAAAAAUCAAAACCAUUAAAUGGCCCAGAGGUAUGCCUGGUGAUCAGGGACACUUUUCAUCAAGUGACAUUGAACUGUUAAUGAUGAAUCUUGGAGUCCUCGGCUUCUAUCUCCGGGCAUUAUUGUCAGAUCCGCACGCAUCCCUCCAUCAUCGCCACAAGAAUAAUAUGAUGUCUUAUUAGAAACCUUGCUGAGAGCCAGGCAAUCUAUACCUAUGUCAUUUCCCUCAUCUACCACUUCAAUAACCCUGUCCAGAAAGGAAAUGAGGUUAGUCUGGCGUGACAUGGGCUUCAUAAAGGCAGGUUGGCUCCUUGUAGCCACUGUUUCCCUUUCAUGUUCUGUUCUAGAAUGCUCCCAGAAUUCAGUUCCCUGGCAGACUGUUCUUUUAUCUUUUUAAAAUUGGCACAUCUUCCCCCAGCCGGUCCAGGAUCCCUCCCAGUUUCCAUAGGCUUUCCUAUAUUGCUGCCAAUGAUUUCAAUUCAGAGAAUGUUGUUUAUUUGGAUGAGGUGACUGAAAUUCAUCCAAAGGCAAGUAGCUACUCUCUUACUGCUUAUCUUGGGUAUCCAUUCCCCGUUUGCUACUUUUUGUCCCAUUUCCAGUGCUUGGCAGCAGAAUCGGAAAGCAAUGUAAGAAGUGGGGAGGUCUGCCUUCUGUUGUCAGUCAUCAGUGUUUCAUCCCCCCAGCCCAGCCAAGGUCCUGGCCUUUCUUUGAUCCUCCAUGUUUGGGGCUAAAUGUUAGCUCUCCUGGUCCUGUUUUUA
rnacentral:lncRNA from 1 species